rnacentral:rRNA from 1 species
AUUCCAGCUCCAAUAGCGUAUAUUAAAGUUGUUGCAGUUAAAAAGCUCGUAGUUGGAUUUCUGGUUUGAUGCCCAGGCCCGCUGCGUGCGUCUGCCAUCCUUCUAGGGAACGUUCCUUCUCUUCACUGAGCCGGGUUCGUGAUCUAGAUCGUUUACUUUGAAAAAAUUAGAGUGUUUAAAGCAGGCUUUUGCUAUGAAUACAUUAGCAUGGAAUAAUAAUCUAGGACUUCGGUCAUAUUUUGUUGGUUUCUGUAACUGAAGUAAUGAUUGAUAGGGAUAGUUGGGGGUGCUAGUAUUGAGCGGCCAGAGGUGAAAUUCUUGGAUUCGCUCAAGACUAACUUAUGCGAAAGCAUUCACCAAGGAUGUCUUCAUUA